UUGUAUUAUUCCAACAGUAGGACCCGUGCCGCUGUGCCACGUGGGCACAUAUAGUGUAGCGGCGGAGCAGAUCAGACUAUUCUACGGCCGCGAGUCUUUCCCUCCCUUGCGAAUCGGGCCCGAUGGCUUCCGAGCAAGAGUGAGAAGCUCCUGUCAUCGCCUGCACAGAGAUAAUGGAAGAGGAACAGCUUCGAUUAUAGAAGUAUGUCUGCUUCUACUACCCCUUCUAUUUCAUAGUACUUUCUCCAUUAUGUUUGCUGGUGUGGGUAGCAACAUCAAAGGCUGUGAAGGAUGAGGGAGCAAUCAAACUGAAGCUAUGUGAUGAUCUAAACCACCUGUUAUGUAGUCAGUCUUACAUGUGGAUUUUAAUGAAGGUAGCUGAGUGUAGGUCACUAAGUCAAGUUGCUGAUAUUUACUAGAAUAGGUUCAAGAAAGCAGUACCACUCAAUUUUCUAGACCGGAGGAUCUGGAAAAACAAAAAAAAACUUGAAGCUUUGAACCCAGGCAGGACUUAUGUUUCUGUUGCACAUGUAGGGCCGAAAGGAGAGUUGAACUCAUGACCUCUUAAUUUUUAGGUGUUGGUCCUUGCCAACUAAGCUACAAAAGAAAAUUGGGGCUAUCCCCAAGGGGAGAUGUUGACGGCAAGAAUUGAGCAGAGUCCAUUUCAGAAUCUCCCUUUGUACGUGCUGAAGAUUUACUCGCGCGGAGCUGGUAAUGUGCAGUCGAAUCAGACACCCAUCUGCUCCCUUGCCACUUCUAACCUGUACACAACAACUACUACAACUCUGCCUUAACCCAUCUAAAUCGGGUCAGCUGGCGAAAAUUGCGGACGAACUUUUGUUUUUGUAUUGUUUCCCUCUUAUCCCUCUCUGGAUAAGAAUGAAUUAUUGUCUUGAGUACUAAAUAAAAUUCUGGCUUUCAAAUGAAAUACAAGUAAUCCAAAAUUA